rnacentral:rRNA from 1 species
AGCGAACGCUGGCGGCAGGCCUAAUACAUGCAAGUCGAACGGUGAAGCGGGCUUCGGCCCGUGGAUCAGUGGCGAACGGGUGCGUAACACGUGGGCAACCUGCCCCUCACUCUGGGAUAACUCCGGGAAACCGGGGCUAAUACCGGAUACUCCGGCCGAACCGCAUGGUUCAGCCGGGAAAGGUCCGCUGGUGAGGGAUGGGCCCGCGGCCUAUCAGCUAGGUGGUGGGGUAACGGCCUACCAAGGCGACGACGGGUAGCUGGUCUAAGAGGGCGAGCGGCCACACGGAGAGGGAGAUACGGCCCGGAGUCCUACGGGAGGCAGCGGUGGGGAAUCGUGCGCAAUGGGCGGAGGCCUGACGCAGCGGAGCCGCGUGGGGGACGAAGGCCUGCGGGUUGUAAACCUCUUUCGGCAGAGACGAGGCGAUCGUGACGGUACCUGCAGAAGAAGCUCCGGCUAACUACGUGCCAGCCGCCGCCGUAACAC